UACGUAGGGGGCAAGCGUUGUCCGGAAUUACUGGGCGUAAAGCGCGCGUAGGCGGCUUUGUAAGUUAGAGGUGAAAGCCCGGGGCUCAACCCCGGAACUGCCUUUAAGACUGCAUCGCUUGAAUCCAGGAGAGGUGAGUGGAAUUCCGAGUGUAGAGGUGAAAUUCGUAGAUAUUCGGAAGAACACCAGUGGCGAAGGCGGCUCACUGGACUGGUAUUGACGCUGAUGUGCGAAAGCGUGGGGAGCAACAGG
rnacentral:rRNA from 1 species